rnacentral:rRNA from 1 species
AUGCACGCUGGCGGCGUGCCUAAUACAUGCAAGUCGAGCGAACAGACGAGGAGCUUGCUCCUCUGACGUUAGCGGCGGACGGGUGAGUAACACGUGGAUAACCUACCUAUAAGACUGGGAUAACUUCGGGAAACCGGAGCUAAUACCGGAUAAUAUAUUGAACCGCAUGGUUCAAUAGUGAAAGACGGUUUUGCUGUCACUUAUAGAUGGAUCCGCGCCGCAUUAGCUAGUUGGUAAGGUAACGGCUUACCAAGGCAACGAUGCGUAGCCGACCUGAGAGGGUGAUCGGCCACACUGGAACUGAGACACGGUCCAGACUCCUACGGGAGGCAGCAGUAGGGAAUCUUCCGCAAUGGGCGAAAGCCUGACGGAGCAACGCCGCGUGAGUGAUGAAGGUCUUCGGAUCGUAAAACUCUGUUAUUAGGGAAGAACAAAUGUGUAAGUAACUAUGCACGUCUUGACGGUACCUGAUCAGAAAGCCACGGCUAACUACGUG